rnacentral:lncRNA from 1 species
ACUCAUCCAGACCCGGGGAAGCAACUCCGCAGGCACCUCCUGCAGCAGGACACGGCAGUGGCAAUCUGGGCAGCUUCACAUCUCCCACGUGAUGAGAACCAGGGACAUCAGUCAACACCCAGACUCUCAUCUGCCGCGAACAGAGUUUGUCUCCCUGUUCAGUGCUGCCUGGGACCCAGGCACCAGGACUCCCUACCCCUCUGUGGGAGAGGCUCAGGCCAGUACAGCUUCACAACAAGAACAUCUGAAACAG